rnacentral:tRNA from 1 species
UAAUGCGAAGCAAUUUGCUAUUAGUUUCGACCUAAUUUAUUGAUAUUUUUAAUAUCCGUAUUAU